rnacentral:rRNA from 1 species
ACACAUGCAAGUCGAACGGCAGCGCGGGAGCAAUCCUGCCGGCGAGUGGCGAACGGGUGAGUAAUAUAUCGGAACGUGCCCAUUAGUGGGGGAUAGCCCGGCGAAAGCCGGAUUAAUACCGCAUACGACCUGAGGGUGAAAGCGGGGGAUCGCAAGACCUCGCGCUAUUGGAGCGGCCGAUAUCAGAUUAGCUAGUUGGUGGGGUAAAGGCCUACCAAGGCAACGAUCUGUAGUUGGUCUGAGAGGACGACCAGCCACACUGGGACUGAGACACGGCCCAGACUCCUACGGGAGGCAGCAGUGGGGAAUUUUGGACAAUGGGCGCAAGCCUGAUCCAGCAAUGCCGCGUGCAGGAAGAAGGCCUUCGGGUUGUAAACUGCUUUUGUCAGGGAAGAAAUCCUUUGGGUUAAUACCUCGGAGGGAUGACGAGUACCUGAAGAAUAAGCACCGGCUAACUACGUGCCAGCAGCCGCGGUAA